UACGGAGGAUGCGAGCGUUAUCCGGAUUUAUUGGGUUUAAAGGGUGCGUAGGCGGCUUAGUAAGUCAGCGGUGAAAUUUUGCAGCUUAACUGUAACAGUGCCGUUGAUACUGCCAGGCUAGGAUUUGGUUGCUGUGGGUGGAAUGUGUGGUGUAACGGUGAAAUGCUUAGAUAUCACACAGAAUAUCGAUUGCGAAGGCAGCUCACAAAGCCAAGAUUGACGCUGAGGCACGAAAGUGUGGGGAUCAAACAGGAUUA
rnacentral:rRNA from 1 species